GGGCUCUGACCUGAGACCUCUGGGUUCUGAGCUGUGAUGUUGCUCCCAAGCUGGGAUCUCCGGGGUCUUGGUUCAGGGUCG
rnacentral:pre_miRNA from 1 species